UGGGGAAUCUUGCACAAUGGGCGCAAGCCUGAUGCAGCCAUGCCGCGUGUGUGAAGAAGGCCUUCGGGUUGUAAAGCACUUUCAGCGGGGUGGAAGGCGGUGAGGUUAAUAACCUCAUCGAUUGACGUUACCCGCAGAAGAAGCACCGGCUAACUCCGUGCCAGCAGCCGCGGUAAUACGGAGGGUGCAAGCGUUAAUCGGAAUUACUGGGCGUAAAGCGCACGCAGGCGGUCUGUCAAGUCGGAUGUGAAAUCCCCGGGCUCAACCUGGGAACUGCAUUCGAAACUGGCAGGCUAGAGUCUUGUAGAGGGGGGUAGAAUUCCAGGUGUAGCGGUGAAAUGCGUAGAGAUCUGGAGGAAUACCGGUGGCGAAGGCGGCCCCCUGGACAAAGACUGACGCUCAGGUGCGAAAGCGUGGGGAGCAAACAGG
rnacentral:rRNA from 1 species